rnacentral:rRNA from 1 species
GACGUAGGGCGCGAGCGUUGUCCGGAUUUAUUGGGCGUAAAGAGCUCGUAGGCGGCUUGUCGCGUCGACUGUGAAAUCCCGCGGCUCAACUGCGGGUCUGCAGUCGAUACGGGCAGGCUAGAGUUCGGUAGGGGAGACUGGAAUUCCUGGUGUAGCGGUGAAAUGCGCAGAUAUCAGGAGGAACACCGGUGGCGAAGGCAGAUCUCUGGGCCGUAACUGACGCUGAGGAGCGAAAGCAUGGGGGAGCGAACAGG